AGAAGAAGAAGUGACUUUUUGAAAGUGGAGAAUAAGUGUGCUAAAAUUUCAACUCUUCCUCAGAUGUCUACCUGCAAGCCAGCACCUUAGAAGAGGUGUUAGCCCUGCGAUGAACUGGCAACUGGUCCGAGAUGUUUUCCUGUCUCCGGCUGAACGUGGAUUGAGAAUAGACGCACAAUAAAUAAACCCUGAUGAGGCAUAAGCAGGACUCACAAUUCACCAAUAAUGCCUUGGAAACAUCUCAACUGAUUGCAUCAAGUUGUGCUGCUGAUGCCCCACUGCUUUACACUCCAGUCCCUCCUCAUUUUUUGCCCCAAACCCCUGAUCCAACAUCCUGCUUCAACAUGAAACAUGCAUUAUCAAUUUCAGAUAAAUAUCCUCCAAAUGUCACGUCUGCCCUGCUCUUAUUGUUUUCUGCUUGUUUUUAUGGACUUCCUGUUUUAUUUUGAUAUCCAUUGUUUGUCUUCAUUCACUUCACUUGUCUUCCUGCCUUUGUUUGUUUCCCGCCUUUUUUGAUUACCUGUCUCCUCCCUAAUGUUAUUCACCUGUGUCUAGUUGUCUUCCCCUCCCCCGUGUAUAUAUACUCACCUGUGUUCACUUGUUCCCUGCCAGAUUGUUGUUGAACCUUUUGUGUCACACUCUCCAGCGUUGUUCCCAGUGUUUGUUUGUUCUAUGUUAUUC